rnacentral:rRNA from 1 species
UACGUAGGUGGCGAGCGUUGUUCGGAAUCACUGGGCAUAAAGCGCGCGUAGGCGGCCAUGUAAGUCAGGCGUGAAAUACCUCGGCUCAACCGAGGAACUGCGCCCGAUACUGCGUGGCUUGAGGGCCGGAGGGGAGAGUGGAAUUCCCGGUGGAGCGGUGAAAUGCGUAGAUAUCGUAAGGAAGACCAGUGGCGAAGGCGAGUCUCUGGACAGUUACUGACACUGAGGCACGAAGGCCAGGGGAGCAAACGGG